AUUGAACGCUGGCGGCAGGCCUAACACAUGCAAGUCGAGCGAGCGGCGGACGGGUGAGUAAUGCCUAGGAAUCUGCCUGGUAGUGGGGGAUAACGUCCGGAAACGGGCGCUAAUAACGCCUACUCUCAGAUGAGCCUAGGUCGGGUUAGCUAGUUGGUGGGGUAACGGCUCACCUAGGCGACGAUCCCUAGCUGGUCUGAGAGGAUGACCAGACACACGGGAACUGAGACACGGUCCAGACUCCUACGGGAGGCAGCAGUGGGGAAGAUUGCACAAGGGGCGCAAGCCUGAUGCAGCCAUGCCGCGUGUGUGAAGAAGGCCUUCGGGUUGUAAAGCACGUUCAGCGGGGAGGCGUUACCCGCAGAAGAAGCACCGGCUAACUCCGUGCCAGCAGCCGCGGUAAUAC
rnacentral:rRNA from 1 species